rnacentral:rRNA from 1 species
GAUGAACGCUGGCGGCGUGCCUAAUACAUGCAAGUCGAGCGAACAGACGAGGAGCUUGCUCCUCUGACGUUAGCGGCGGACGGGUGAGUAACACGUGGAUAACCUACCUAUAAGACUGGGAUAACUUCGGGAAACCGGAGCUAAUACCGGAUAAUAUAUUGAACCGCAUGGUUCAAUAGUGAAAGACGGUUUUGCUGUCACUUAUAGAUGGAUCCGCGCCGCAUUAGCUAGUUGGUAAGGUAACGGCUUACCAAGGCAACGAUGCGUAGCCGACCUGAGAGGGUGGUCGGCCACACUAGAACUGAGACACGGUCCAGACUCCUACGGGAGGCAGCAGUAGGGAAUCUUCCGCAAUGGGCGAAAGCCUGACAGAGCAACGCCGCGUGAGUGAUGAAGGUCUUCGGAUCGUAAAACUCUGUUAUUAGGGAAGAACAAAUGUGUAAGUAAAUGUGCACGUCUUGACGGUACCUAAUCAGAAAGCCACGGCUAACUACGUG